GUGCUCUCUUCAGUAGCACAUAAACUAAAAUUGGAACAAUAAAGAGAAGAUUAGCAUGGCCCCUGUGCAAAGAUGACAUGCAAAUUCGUGAAGUGUUCCAUAUAAAG